rnacentral:rRNA from 1 species
AGUCACUGCCAUUAGACUACCCCCGUAGUCCCAGCCGUAAACUAUGCGCGUUAGGUGUAUCGGUGACCACGAGUUACCGAGGUGCCGAAGGGAAACCGUGAAACGUGCCGCCUGGGAAGUACGGUCGCAAGGCUGAAACUUAAAGGAAUUGGCGGGGAGCACCACAACGGGUGGAGCCUGCGGUUUAAUUGGACUCAACGCCGGGAAGCUCACCGGAUAAGACAGCGGAAUGAUUGCCGGGCUGAAGACUCUGCAUGACUAGCUG